rnacentral:lncRNA from 1 species
CAACAAGCAGGUGGCCUGUUUCAUUUCACUAUAAAGUGAUGCCAUAGGUUUUGAGGUUUUGAGGGUGAUGUCUAUGGAAUCACUUUAGAGCUGAAACCAAUCAAGAUUGGGGGUGACUGAUGGAGUCCAUCAUAAAUUGCUCCUGGAAAACAGAGGUCUGGGAGGAAAACUACGGUUCUGUAGAAGCCAACAAAUCUUCUAAACUGAGCAGACAAUACGUGUACUAUUCUUUUGUUGUCUUGAGAAGAGAUUCGUGGUGUGCAGCCCUCACUCUGUAGACCAGGCUGGCACAGAUGCGGGCCAGUUAUCUUGGCUCAAUCUCCAAAGUUCAGGCAUUACCCGGUCUGUCAUUUCCGGAUCCAAAUGUGAUAUUCUCAACAAGACAUGUAGACGGGCUGUUGUGGAAAGGCGGGCAGCACACCCAGGGCCUGGCAGACAGACAGUGAUUAUCAUAGCCCCCUGCUCUCAUCCAUUAGCACCGGGGGUGAGCAGAUGCUUCAGGGGGAAGAUCCCUGGAGACCUGCUUGCUGGAGACUUGGCUUCUAGGAGCCAAUUUGUGACAAGAUCAAAGGUGUAUGGAGUCUCAAGAGCCCAAGCUUUACUUUGGAAUUUUCCAGUAUAUCUCAUUUUACACAGUACUUGCAGGUUUGAAAAAGCAUUGGAAGAUAAAUUUCAGUAAAUUAAAUUUUAUAAUGCCAUAGACAUAUUAUGCCUUCUGUUGGUAGUGGCUCCUGGAGUCCAACUUUCAUUUUUCCCUGUCUAUCUAGUAAUUAAUCAUGGAAACGGCAGUGGAGCCACGAGACGAACCUCCCAUAGCUGAGAAUGUAUUUGCUAUGUCACUGUUUGAUA